rnacentral:lncRNA from 1 species
AGGGAGGUCACACAAUGUGUCUAGUUCAUGCAUAUCAAAUUUCAUGGCCAUACAAUACAAUAUGAGGAUUUCCCAAUCAAUCUACCAACAUGUAUCACAUGAGCUUGCAAUUUCAAUCACCAGAAAUGAAAAAUCAUGAUCAAAUUGAAAAUACAGUGAAAAAUUCUACAAAAAUUCAUACAACAUCCUAACAUAUCAACAAGUCAUCAUGCAAAAUUUCAGCCAAUUCCAACAUGCAUAGGUCAUCCAAUUAAAUUCAACAA